CAAAGCAAUGGAAAUAUCUUCCUCGCCAGCCCUCUAUCUCAUGGAAAAGAUCUCUCUAUUCCCCGUCUCUUCCCACCCCUCUCCUCUUCCCCAUGCCGCCACCACUUCCCCCAUCCUCUUGGACGCCUCGUCUCUUCCACCUCCGCCUCCAUCACCUCCUCCUCCCCUGCCUCCGCACCCGACCACGCGCUGUGGACGAGGAGGCAACAGCUCGGGAGGCAGGCAAGAGGAAAACGGGAGGGAUCCCCUCCCGAGCCCCGCGCCUCUCCUCUUUCCCACUGCGCCGCCAACCCCUUUCCCUCCCAUCUUGAGCUGCUGUAGCUCCUCCCUCAACCCGCGGCGCGCCUUCUUCUCCGACCGUUGUUGCCCGCACUGCUACCGCCACGGCCUGCUACUGCUCCUCCUCCAGCUCCUCGCCCCAGCGACGCUUCCUCCCCUCCUCUCAUGCAAGGCGUAUUGGGGCGUGGAGGCGGCGGGGCAGCAGCCAGUCAUUGCCCUGCAGGGGCAGCAACAGGUCGGCUUUCCUGUUGUGGCGGCGACACGUCUAGAGGAACCGGUCGCCCUUCUCCUGGAUGAGCGACGGAGCCGAAAAGCCGGAACUGACCAUUGAGGAGCUGGGGCAGCCGUGCCACAUAGAAGGUCGAGGUGGACCAGGAGAAGCUGCACGAGGCUCCAUCGCCUCCUGCUCAAAUUUGGUUUCUCUAUGACUACAUGGUGUUUGAUGAAAAUCCAAGAAGGACGGGGAGGAUUGACCUAUGCGGAUAAGAGAAGAAAACUGAAACAUGUUCACUAGAGUGUCCUGGGGUGGCCUGCGAGCUACGAGGAUGGGGCUGCGAGACUGGAUUGGCAGCCGACAGCGAGAGAGGAAGGGUGGUUGUUCCUGUGAUGAGGUGGUGAUGAUUGCCAUAGUGGAAUUUUGUAGGUACAACGGCGGCGAGCUUUGAGGGCCUCCGGUUUGGUGGCAGCAUGAGCCUCGUGGAGUUGUCUCAGACAACAUCACAUUUAUUUGUUUUUGUUUCCCCACUUAGACUACUGCUUUGAUUCUGAAGUGUGGAGAUGGAUGUGACUUACCAUGGAGGAAGUGGGUACAAUAUCCAUUUGAAAGAUGCAACAGGCUCAAAAUGAGUUUCCGGUGCAAGUGUAGCUGCAAGCCAGAUUGGUUCUUACAGCAAUGUAGUGAUUUGUACCCUGCAAAGUUCCUCUCUUGGUUCACUGACACGAUCAACCUAUGUGCACGUAGAUGAUGUUUUGUUUCCCUUCCCAGAAUCUCUGUUAUGUAUUGGUGUUGAUGUUUUCUUCACUUGGAGAUGCAAAAACCGCCCGAGACAGUUCAGGCCGACGAUUCUCCCUCGCUCGAGGAUUCCAGUAACUAUGAGUUCUAGGUGAAGAUGUAUGUUUCCUACAAACAUUUUCAGUUUGACGAGAGCUUUGCCAUUCAGCUUGAAAAAGUAUGUUCCGUCUAGGACAGAGAACCAUGAGUAUCACCACUGUUGGAGGAAAAAGCUAGAGCAAUUAUGUUUCUACUUUCAUGCAUUAUGGUUGUCUAUUCUGGGAAGGAUAGAGUAAGUUUCCCUUUUAUACAAAGGCACUACUCAGGGUCUUAAUAAGCUCAGGAUUCUCAGGCCAUGGUCUUUGCUCUUUCAGGUUUACAUAUUUCGUAUGCCUAAAUAGUGAAAGUAGUUUAUUUUCAUUUAACUGUUUAUAUGCUAUUCUCUCAUUGUCUGUGUUGGCUAAGAAAUACUAAUGUAAAUAUUCUUCGAUUUGAAAAGUUGUCAUCUCUUAUUUUUUUCGUUUUACCGCUGUCUUGUGCUACAGUUUGUUAGGCAAAUUUAGCUUUCAACUCAACAAUUUGCUUGCUUUCUAAAGCAUGUACUACUAUUGAAGUUCAGUAUAUCAAGUAAUAAUAGUGUGUUAAAAUGAAUAAUACACAUUGAGCUAUAUAUAUUUGCUGCAAUUCGGGCCUGUUGUUGUAAUGUGGUAUAUCUCCUCCCUUGUAAUAUGUAAGGUUGAAGUGACAGUUUAAUAUUCUUCCGCUCAGCAGCACCAAGUACGUGUUUGCAGCCUUUCGGUGCUACAUGUGAGUUCAGUUUACUGCUAACUAUAGUUGUUUAUGGAUUAGUGUAUUUUGUUGUAGGUUAAAUGGAGUUAGUAAGACCAUAUUUGAUGCUGAUCAUAAGAUACUAACGGGCUCCAUGUAAUCCCAAGUGCAUUGCACAACAAUUGUCAUUUUGCAAGAUCUUCUAGAGGGCUAUAUGUCCUACGCUCCUCUUGAUGACAUAUAUGAGGACUCGCAACCCUGAGCCUGGAAGACAACCGUUGAGGCGGUGGUCAUGGGGCAACGAUAGUCGAUAGCUACUAUCAGAACAUAAACGUAUGGCCCUCCUUGUUGCAUUGAAGGAUUAUCGUCUAUUGGAUUUGCAGAACCAGUUAAUGACAAGAUGAUGGCAGUAGCAAUGGAGGGUCGUGGUUUCUGAAUGCUGGGACUUCCAGUUUUUAGGAUGGGUUAUUUAGUAUGAACAAAUAUGGCAACAUUCAUUAGUCGUACUGUUUCUUGAGGUGAUGCCACUGCUACAGGUUCCUAAACCCAAUAGUUGAAUGCCCCCCAGUAAAAUUUGGGAAUGGAUGCUUUAAUGUAGAAGCCCAUCUAAUUAAAGGAAAUGAGGACAGGGCAACCAUAGCUUACUUGGCAGAAACCUGCUCCGGGUUCGUAUAAGCUGAAUACUGGCGCAAGUUACUUUGAUGAUGGAACAGGUUCAGUUGCUGCAGUGCUUAGAAACUCUCGAGGGGAAGCUAUUGCGGGAGCUUCCGAGCUAAUUUACCAUGUUCUUAAUGCCCAAACUUCUGAAACUUUGGCGCUGUUGCGAGGUUUGAAGCUUCUUUCAGAGAUUGGGUGCACCAAGGUGACAGUCGAAUCAGAUUGUCUAGAACUGAUUGAAGCACGUAGUGGAAAAAUUGAGAUUUUGGGUCCCAAUGUAGCAAUACUUGCGGACUUUUUUCAUAUUGCUCAUGAAAUUCUUGGAAUUUGUUUCAAGCAUUGUCCAAGUGAAGCUAAUGGAUUGGCACAUUUUCUGGCUAGAGGGUAGGCCCAUUGGAUCUGUUGAUGCUACUGUGUUUCGACUUGAGAUCAGAUACUUUUGUUUCAGCGUAAAGGUCGACAAGUGCCACCGCCACUCCCUAUGUUGUUUCUAUUCUAACGCGAUCUACUUGAGACCAGGAGACAAACGUCUUUCACUCCUAUGGGGUCCAACUCCUAAUGAUUGAUGAUGUACAAUGUGUCUAAUUCCAGUUCAAACGUCUUUCACUUGAUUGGCUUGACCCCUUAUUUUGUCUUGCAUAUUUUUAGAUGAUAUUAGUAGUCACUCGAGCAUCAA